rnacentral:rRNA from 1 species
UACGUAGGGGGCAAGCGUUGUCCGGAUUUAUUGGGCGUAAAGAGCGUGUAGGCGGCUAGGUAGGUCCGUUGUGAAAACUCGAGGCUCAACCUCGAGACGCCGAUGGAAACCAUCUGGCUAGAGUCCGGAAGAGGAGAGUGGAAUUCCUGGUGUAGCGGUGAAAUGCGCAGAUAUCAGGAAGAACACCGGUGGCGAAGGCGGCUUCCUGGACACUUACUGACGCUGAGACGCGAAAGCGUGGGGAGCAAACAGG